rnacentral:rRNA from 1 species
UACGUAGGGGCAGCGUUGUCCGGAUUCAUUGGGCGUAAAGAGCGUGUAGGCGGCCAGGUAGGUCGGUUGUGAAAACCGUGGAGGCUACAACCUUCAGAGGUCGACCGAAACCAUCUGGCUAGAGUCCGGGAGAGGAGAGUGGAAUUCCUGGUGUAGCGGUGAAAUGCGCAGAUAUCAGGAAGAACACCCGUGGCGAAAGCGGCUCUCUGGAACGGUACUGGACGGCUGAGACGGCGAAAGCGUGGGGAGCGAACAGG